rnacentral:rRNA from 1 species
UGAGGAAUAUUGGGCAAUGCCCGCAAGGGUGACCCAGCAACGCCGCGUGGAGGAUGAAUGUCGUAAGAUUGUAAACUGCUUUUGUACGGAACGAAAAGGUGCCUUCUAAUAAAGGGCGCUCAUGACGGUACCGUAAGAAUAAGCACCGGCUAACUACGUGCCAGCAGCCGCGGUAAUACGUAGGGUGCGAGCGUUAAUCGGAAUUACUGGGCGUAAAGCGUGCGCAGGCGGUUUUGUAAGACAGAGGUGAAAUCCCCGGGCUCAACCUGGGAACUGCCUUUGUGACUGCAAGGCUGGAGUGCGGCAGAGGGGGAUGGAAUUCCGCGUGCAGCAGUGAAAUGCGUAGAUAUGCGGAGGAACACCGAUGGCGAAGGCAAUCCCCUGAGCCUGCACUGACGCUCAUGCACGAAAGCGUGGGGAGCAAACA